GAUGUCCUACGGGGCGCAGCAGUGAGGAAUAUUGGUCAAUGGUCGGGAGACUGAACCAGCCAAGCCGCGUGAGGGAGGAAGGUACAGAGUAUCGUAAACCUCUUUUGUCAGGGAACAAAGACUGGGACGCGUCCCCGGAUGAGUGUACCUGAAGAAAAAGCAUCGGCUAACUCCGUGCCAGCAACCGCGGUAAUACGGAGGAUGCGAGCGUUAUCCGGAUUUAUUGGGUUUAAAGGGUGCGCAGGCGGUCUGUUAAGUCAGCGGUCAAAGCCCGGGGCUCAACCCCGGCCCGCCGUUGAAACUGG
rnacentral:rRNA from 1 species